GACGAACGCUGGCGGCGUGCUUAUCACAUGCAAGUCGAACGGAAAGGCCCUGCUUUUGUGGGGUGCUCGAGUGGCGAACGGGUGAGUAACACGUGAGUAACCUGCCCUUGACUUUGGGAUAACUUCAGGAAACUGGGGCUAAUACCGGAUAGGAGCUCCUGCUGCAUGGUGGGGGUUGGAAAGUUUCGGCGGUUGGGGAUGGACUCGCGGCUUAUCAGCUUGUUGGUGGGGUAGUGGCUUACCAAGGCUUUGACGGGUAGCCGGCCUGAGAGGGUGACCGGCCACAUUGGGACUGAGAUACGGCCCAGACUCCUACGGGAGGCAGCAGUGGGGAAUAUUGCACAAUGGGCGGAAGUCUGAUGCAGCAACGCCGCGUGCGGGAUGACGGCCUUCGGGUUGUAAACCGCUUUCGCCUGUGACGAAGCGUGAGUGACGGUAAUGGGUAAAGAAGCACCGGCUAACUACGUG
rnacentral:rRNA from 1 species